CAGUCGCCGCGGUAAUACGAAGGGGGCUAGCGUUGCUCGGAUUUACUGGGCGUAAAGGGCGAGUAGGCGGACAGUUAAGUUGGGGGUGAAAGCCCGGGGCUCAACCUCGGAAUUGCCUUCAAUACUGGCUGUCUUGAGUGUGAGAGAGGUGUGUGGAACUCCGAGUGUAGAGGUGAAAUUCGUAGAUAUUCGGAAGAACACCAGUGGCGAAGGCGACACACUGGCUCACUACUGACGCUGAGGCGCGAAAGCGUGGGGAGCAAACAGGAUUAGAUACCCCAGUAGUCCCUGUCUCUAUACA
rnacentral:rRNA from 1 species